UUUCCGUAGGUGAACCUGCGGAAGGAUCAUUGUCGAUGGCCCUAUCAAACAGGAUGACCCGCGAAUCGGUUAAGAGACCAUCGGGGAGGCAGAGGGUGAGCGUCGCCCCGAGUCUCCCUGCCCGGCGAUGCCUUCAGCCUCGUGCUGCUUGUGUCAGGCCGAAAAAUAACUAAACCUCGGCGUCGGACGCGCCAAGGAACUCGAACAAAUGAGCGUGCUCUCGACGUCCCGGAGACGGUGCUCGCUCGAGAGUGUCGCGACGACUGUAUCCAAAAAAUGACUCUCGGCAACGGAUAUCUCGGCUCUCGCAUCGAUGAAGAACGUAGCGAAAUGCGAUACUUGGUGUGAAUUGCAGAAUCCCGUGAACCAUCGAGUCUUCGAACGCAAGUUGCGCCCGAAGCCAUUAGGCCGAGGGCACGUCUGCCUGGGUGUCACACAACGAUGCCCCCACUCCACAGCCUCUGAGGGGGCGUGUAGGGGGGGGUGGACGAUGGCCUCCCGUGGGCGUCUUGCCUCUCGGAUGGCUGAAAUACGAGUCUGUGGUGUCGACCGCCGCGACGGACGGUGGAAGAGUGAAUCUCGAGACCGGUCGAGCGUGUGUCUUCUCGUCGAGCAGGCUGCGAGACCUUUACGCGUCGCUUGUUGCGAGUGCAUUCGAAGCGAUCCCAGGUCAGGCGGGGCUACCCGCUGAGUUUAA
rnacentral:rRNA from 1 species